GCGUUAGCUCAGUUGGUAGAGCAGUUGACUUUUAAUCAAUUGGUCGCAGGUUCGAAUCCUGCACGACCCACCA
rnacentral:tRNA from 1 species